rnacentral:pre_miRNA from 9 species
UCUCGAUAGUGUAAAAGUUAACUCGAAUUUGUAUGCAGUUGGAACUUUUGAUUACGUUUGCCGCUAGGGGCGCUGUUCCAAAUGCAUACAAAUUUGAGUUAACUUUUACGCUAUCGA